rnacentral:rRNA from 1 species
UACGUAGGGUCCGAGCGUUGUCCGGAAUUACUGGGCGUAAAGCGCGUGUAGGCGGAUGGGCAAGUCUGCUGUGAAAGCUCCUGGCUUAACCGGGAGUGGUCGGUGGAAACUGCCAAUCUGGAGGACGGUAGAGGUAGGUAGAAUUCCCGGUGUAGAGGUGAAAUUCGUAGAUAUCGAGAGGAACACCGGUGGCGAAGGCGGCCAACUGGACGAAUACUGACGCUGAGACUCGAAAGCGUGGGGAGCAAACAGG